UGCGGGAUGCGGCAGGGCAGAUGCUCCAGGGGCCGGGAGGGCUGCGGACACAGGGCGCGGCGGACACGCGAAUUUCCUCUUCUUCCGCUUUCUGCUGCUUUUUCUUCUUGUCCUUUGCAGAAGAUCAGACGGCUACAGAAGCUGACCUCCUGGCCCUGGCACAUAAACUCAAGGCAAGAACAAAAAUGAAGACCCUUCUCCCUCGUCUCCUUCCCGCUCCUCCUCCUUUUCCGGCUCCUGCUCCUCCUCUUCCUCUCCCCCCGCUCCCGCGCCCGGCUGCUCUGGGGGGACGGGACGGGACGCGUUGUGAACGGGGAAGAAGGGAGAGGACGGGCUGUUCCUCAGUGUGGAUCUUCUGGUGGCACAUCAGGCUGAAGCUGUGGAUAAAGCUCUUCCCACAUUCCAAACACUUUUGGGGCUGUUCCCCAUGUGCACCCACUGGUGGAUGAGGAGGUUGGAGCUCUUGCUGGAGCUCUUCCCACAUUCCAAGAAGCCCUUGUAGGGUUUCUCACCAUUGUGAAGCUGCUGGUCAACCACCAGGUCAGAGCUCAUCUGCCUUCCCAACACAGGCUCAGUGCCUGGGGGAGGAAGGAACAAGCAGAAGGAAGAAGGAAGAAAAAGGACAAGGAGAGAGAAGAAGGAAGAAGGCGAGGAAGGAGAUUUGCUUCCAUGCCAGAGGGAAGGGGAAGGAGAUUUCCCCUCAAUCCAUCCCUGGCAGGACGGUGUCAGCAGCAAGGUUGUCCUGCAACUGGGGACCAUGCUGGGCUGGGAGAUGGAGCAGGAGAGAGGGGGAAAGAGGCACUGACUUCCUCCUCACCUGCCUGGGUAUCCUGGAGUAUCUUCCCCACAGUCUUCUCCAUCCAGCCAAGGCUUGGGAAUGACAAAUUCUGUUUUGGAUGGAAAUAAUCAAGGUAUGAGCUCAUUGGGUUGGGGUUCCUCCUACCCCAGUCCAUCUCAUAUAUAUCAAUAUGGUCACCUUGUAUAUGUAAAAGCCUCAGAAACAUGAAGACUCAGAGUCAUAAACCCUCACAUGAGUUCUUCCUUUCUAGUUUCCUCUUUCUGGGGUUCUGGAGGUGCCCCUUCACUGGGCUGCUGGGGGUCCCAUGGGUUCUGGGCUUCCCCUCUUCUUGGGUGCUGUUUAGAGAUGUUUGAGGUGUCCCAGGGGUCCCUUCUCCCCUAACUGUCUACUUGGACAUGUCUGGGGCCCCAGGGGUCCUCCUGAUAAGAGAAAUGGGUCUUAAUGCCUUCACAAAAGACUAUGUGUGAAAGAACCAAUCAGGUUCUGAAAGAAGGUGUGUGGAGGUCUUCAUGAACAUCAAGCUGUAUGACUUUGUUGCAGAACCCAGACAGUUUGAACUUCUGAGCUUUAGGGGAAUAUGCAGUAGGUGGUUCGGAAAGGCUGUACCUCAGGCAAUGGGGAAACAAAGAGGGCAAUACACGGCCAAAAGUUUAGGAUAAAAGGAGGUUGCAUCCUCCUUUUAUGAGGAGAGCCCCCACAGGGGGUAUGCCCUAGUGGACUCUCUCCCUUUGUUCGAAUAAGCUUGCAGGGCUCCUCUGUCUCCUUUGUGAGCACCGGCUCUUCACAGCGUGAUUUUCCCACACACCCAUCUCCAGGCUCCCCCCUCUCCAGGCUGCCAGCGGUUACGGCUCCUCUGCUGUCCCCUCUGUUCUCCCCUCUCCGCUCCAGACUGCCGGGGAUUCUGCCUUCUCCAUGCCCUCAUUUCAGGGUCCCGGGGUGUCGGAAUCCAGAACAUCCCUCUGGGUGCCCUGGAUGGCCAGAGCUGCUGGCAGGGGGCUCUGAGACCCUGGCAUGCAGCCAAAGACACGUGGGGUUUUGAUCUUAGCCCGUGGAGCAAAUU